GUUUGGUUUACAUUAUAGUCAGACCAGAAACAGCGGUCUUAAAGUGGUAGACUGCAGUGAAUUAAAUCACUUCCUUUAUCAAGUGGCUAACAAAUGCCUUUCAUUGGAUAGUUAUGUAGCCUUCUGAAAUGGAGUGUUUCUGUUGGUUUUUAUUUUUUUGUAUUUUGUGCGGUGUUCUUUUAAAAAAAUAUACGAGAAUGUUUCACACAAUUACCCCAUUCCACUUUAAUAACACAAAGCACAUUGCUAAUCACUUUGGAACUGCAGUGGACACCACAUGAGAAGGAACUUUAAAUUCAACAGAUUAUAUAUAUAUAUGUAAUGACAAUAGAAUAAAUAUGUUUUUUCUUUAAAUUUGAUCUUUUUGACAAAAUUGAGGUAAAAAAUUUGCUAUUGC
rnacentral:lncRNA from 1 species